GGGUCGGUUCGGCCGGAUUUCACACAGGUGUUGCAUGGCUGUCGUCAGCUCGUGUCGUGAGAUGUUGGGUUAAGUCCCGCAACGAGCGUAACCCUCAUCCUUAGUUGCCAUCAGGUAAUGCUGAGCACUUUAAGGAAACUGCUAGUGAUAAACUGGAGGAAGGUGGGAUGAUGUCAAGUCAUCAUGGCCCUUAUGGAGUGGGCUACACACGUGCUACAAUGGUGGCUACAAUGGGCUGCAAAGUCGCGAGGCCAAGCUAAUCCCUUAAAAGCCAUCUCAGUUCGGAUUGUACUCUGCAACUCGAGUGCAUGAAGUUGGAAUCGCUAGUAAUCGUGGAUCAGCAUGCCACGGUGAAUACGUUCUCGGGUCUUGUACACACUGCCCGUCACGCCAUGGGAAUUGGUUUCACUCGAAGCUAAUGACCUAACCGCAAGGAGGGAGUUAUUUAAAGUGGGAUCAGUGACUGGGGUGAAGUCGUAACAAGGUAAGCGUAGUGCU
rnacentral:rRNA from 1 species